UAUGUUUUAUAUUUUAGCUCCUCUUGUUUAUAUGACAGUUUUACACAUCUCUGCUGGAUUUUCUCAGUCAGUUUUAUGAGGUAGAGUCACCUGCAAUUCAGGCUUUCAGUUAACAGCUGUGCUGAACUCAUCAAGAGUUAAUUACUUGAAUUUCUUGUCUCUUAAUAUGUUUGAGAGCAUCAGUUAAAGUAAAGUAGUGAAGAGGUAGAGUUACAGGUAUACAGUGAAUAGAUCUAUAUUAUGGCAAGAACUACUCAACUAAGUAAAGAAAAAAUACUUUAAGAAAACAUGAAGAUCAUUCAAUUCGAAAAGAAGCAUUUUAAGGACUUUGAAAGCGUCCGCAAUGAUGAUGAAACUGGCACUCAUCAGGACUGUUCCAGCAAAGGAAGAGCAAGAGUUUUCUCUUUUGUACAGGAUGAGUUGAUCAGAAAGUUACUAUAUAUAUUCCUUAUGUGUUCCUUCAUAGUCUGGAUCACUUUACUAUUCAUUUACUAUGUAGGAAAAACAAUAAAUUGAAAAAUAAUUGAAUGAGAAGGUGUGUCCAAACUUUUGACUGGAUAAGCUUUUAAAGUAUUUUGAGACAUUGAUUUUCCACUUUAAAAAGCAGUUCCAAGCUGUUUUAGGAUGGUUUAGACUAUAGGUAGUGGGUGGAGCAUGAAUCUUCCAAUGCUCCGCCCACUUUUAUGAUGCUGGUUUAAAAGAUCAUCUAGCAUUUAUAGCAUAUACAGCUCUGGACAAGAAAUAAGAGAUCUCUUGAAAAUGAUGAUUUCCUUUUAUUUUAGCAAAUUGAAAACUUCUGGAAUAUAAUCAAGAGGAAGAUGGAUGAUCACAAGCCAUCAAACCACCAAACUGAACUGCUUGAAUUUUUGCACCAGGAGUAAAGCAGCAUAAAGUUAUCCAAAAGCAGUGUGUAAGACUGGUGGAGGAGAACAUGAUGCCAAGAUGCAUGAAAACUGUGAUUCCACCAAAUAUUGAUUUCUGAACUCUUAAAAUUUGAAAACUAUGAAUAUGAACUUUUAUUUGAAGUCUAAAAGCUCUGCAUCAUUUUUUUUUUUUGUUAUUUCAGACAUUUCUCAUUUUCUGCAAAUAAAUUCUCUAAAUGACAAUAUUUCUAUUUGGAAUUUGGGAGAAAUGUUGUCUGUAGUUUAUAGAAUAAAACAACAAUGUUCAUUUUACUCAAACAUAAACCUAUAAAUAGCAAAAUCAGAGAAACUGAUUCAGAAACUGAAGUGGUAACUUGUUGGCGGAUCAUGGCUCUAGUUCUCUUUGGUGAAAUAAAUUUAGAACACAAUAUAUAGAUGAGAUGUUCCACUGAGUCGUUUAAGUUCAUCCGUCCUGCAUCGUUCACUUCCCUCCACUGCGUAGACUGCCCUCAGCUGCAGUUCAUGCCUGUGCCUUUGCUGUGUUGUGAACUGGAUAUUGAUUGUACUACUGUACACGUCAGCGGGGCCCACCAGAGGUACUCUAUUUAUUACUGUUGAUUAAAUCAAUCAUAUUUUUAUAUGUAGGGGACAAAAGUGCUUUAAAUAAAUUUGCCCUUUUUUAUAAGA